UACGAAGGGGGCUAGCGUUGCUCGGAAUCACUGGGCGUAAAGGGUGCGUAGGCGGGUCUUUAAGUCAGGGGUGAAAUCCUGGAGCUCAACUCCAGAACUGCCUUUGAUACUGGCGAUCUCGAGUCCGGGAGAGGUGAGUGGAACUGCGAGUGUAGAGGUGAAAUUCGUAGAUAUUCGCAAGAACACCAGUGGCGAAGGCGGCUCACUGGCCCGGUACUGGA
rnacentral:rRNA from 1 species